AGCAGCCGCGGUAAUUCCAGCUCCAAUAGCGUAUAUUAAAGUUGUUGCAGUUAAAAAGCUCGUAGUUGAAUUUCGGGGUUAGUAGGUCGGUCAUGCCUCUGGUAUGCACUGGUCUCACUGAUUCCUCCUUCCUGAUGAGCCAUAAUGCCAUUAAUUUGGUGUUGCGGGGAAUCUGGACUGUUACUUUGAAAAAAUUAGAGUGUUUAAAGCAGGCUAACGCUUGAAUACAUUAGCAUGGAAUAAUGGAAUAGGACGUUCGAUCCUAUUUUGUUGGUUUCUAGGAUUGACGUAAUGAUUAAUAGGGAUAGUUGGGGGCAUUAGUAUUCAAUUGUCAGAGGUGAAAUUCUUGGAUUUAUUGAAGACUAACUACUGCGAAAGCAUUUGCCAAGGAUGUUUUCAUUAAUCAAGAACGAAAGUUAGGGGAUCGAAGACGAUCAGAUACCGUCGUAGUCUUAACCAUAAACUAUGCCGACUAGGGAUCGGAUGAUGUUAAUU
rnacentral:rRNA from 1 species